rnacentral:rRNA from 1 species
AGAGUUUGAUCCUGGCUCAGGAUGAACGCUGGCGGUCUGCUUAACACAUGCAAGUCGAACGGAAGUAGCAAUACUUUAGUGGCGGACGGGUGAGUAACGCGUGAGAAUCUACCUUCAGGACGGAGACAACAGUUGGAAACGACUGCUAACCCCCGAUGUACCGCAAGGGCAAAUAUUUAUAGCCUGAAGAAGAGCUCGCGUCCGAUUAGCUAGUUGGGGGGGUAAAAGCCCACCAAGGCGACGAUCGGUAGCUGGUCUGAGAGGACGAUCAGCCACACUGGGACUGAGACACGGCCCAGACUCCUACGGGAGGCAGCAGUGGGGAAUUUUCCGCAAUGGGCGCAAGCCUGACGGAGCAAGACCGCGUGGGGGAGGAAGGCUCUUGGGUUGUAAACCCCUUUUCUCUGGGAAGAACAAAAUGACGGUACCAGAGGAAUCAGCAUCG